rnacentral:rRNA from 1 species
AUACGGAGGGUGCAAGCGUUAAUCGGAAUUACUGGGCGUAAAGCGCGCGUAGGCGGUUAUUUAAGUCAGAUGUGAAAGCCCUGGGCUCAACCUAGGAACUGCAUCUGAUACUGGGUAACUAGAGUUUUGGAGAGGUAAGUGGAAUUUCCGGUGUAGCGGUGAAAUGCAUAGAGAUCGGAAGGAACACCAGUGGCGAAGGCGACUUACUGGCCAAAAACUGACGCUGAGGUGCGAAAGCGUGGGUAGCAAACAGGAUUAGAUACCCUAGUAGUCC